UGCAAGUCGAACGAUGAACCACUUCGGUGGGGAUUAGUGGCGAACGGGUGAGUAACACGUGGGCAAUCUGCCCUGCACUCUGGGACAAGCCCUGGAAACGGGGUCUAAUACCGGAUACUGACCAUCUUGGGCAUCUUUGAUGGUCGAAAGCUCCGGCGGUGCAGGAUGAGCCCGCGGCCUAUCAGCUAGUUGGUGAGGUAAUGGCUCACCAAGGCGACGACGGGUAGCCGGCCUGAGAGGGCGACCGGCCACACUGGGACUGAGACACGGCCCAGACUCCUACGGGAGGCAGCAGUGGGGAAUAUUGCACAAUGGGCGAAAGCCUGAUGCAGCGACGCCGCGUGAGGGAUGACGGCCUUCGGGUUGUAAACCUCUUUCAGCAGGGAAGAAGCGAAAGUGACGGUACCUGCAGAAGAAGCGCCGGCUAACUACGUGCCAGCAGCCGCGGUAAUACGUAGGGCGCAAGCGUUGUCCGGAAUUAUUGGGCGUAAAGAGCUCGUAGGCGGCUUGUCACGUCGGUUGUGAAAGCCCGGGGCUUAACCCCGGGUCUGCAGUCGAUACGGGCAGGCUAGAGUUCGGUAGGGGAGAUCGGAAUUCCUGGUGUAGCGGUGAAAUGCGCAGAUAUCAGGAGGAACACCGGUGGCGAAGGCGGAUCUCUGGGCCGAUACUGACGCUGAGGAGCGAAAGCGUGGGGAGCGAACAGGAUUAGAUACCCUGGUAGUCCACGCCGUAAACGGUGGGCACUAGGUGUGGG
rnacentral:rRNA from 1 species